UACAUUCUUUAAAUCAAGAUAGUUUUGAAUCGACAUUUAUUCAACUUGUUAAAAUAAUUCUCAUUGACAGUUGUUGUGUUCAACGUUAUUCAAAGCAUUUACUGAAUUAUUAUCGUUCAAAAUGAAAACUUAUCCGAUUCAAGAUAUAUAUGGUUUUAGCGAUUGGACUGAAAGUGUAGCUUAUGAAAAGGCAAAUAGACCAAAACCUAUCAUUGGAAAUGAGGAAUAUGGAUUUCUCAUCAUGGAAUCAAUCAUAGAAAACCCCCAAAGAUACAGGGAUGAGCAGACGGAGUAUUUCUAGGGUAAUGUAAAAAUUCAAAUUUCACCUGUACAGUAUUCAGAUGCACCAGGAAUAAUAUGAAAUUGACUUCCAUCGA